rnacentral:rRNA from 1 species
GACGAACCGUGCAAACGUUGUUCGGAAUCACUGGGCUUAAAGGGCGCGUAGGCGGGCUGCCAAGUCUGUGGUGAAAUACUCCAGCUCAACUGGAGAACUGCCGCGGAUACUGGCGGUCUCGAGGGAGGUAGGGGCGCGCGGAACACUAGGUGGAGCGGUGAAAUGCGUUGAUAUCUAGUGGAACUCCGGUGGCGAAGGCGGCGCGCUGGACCUCUUCUGACGCUGAGGCGCGAAAGCCAGGGGAGCGAACGGG